UUGUUUUCAUGCAGGGUCCCGUUACUUGGAAGUUGGAUAAUGGCAGGAGGCCGGGUCUAACUAAGUAACGGUUUGACUAGUUAAUAAUUGAGGUUAUGUUGAUUGAGUUGAUAGCAUGCUUGUUAUUGCUUGAGAACCGUAGUAGCAUGCUAAUGGUUAGGUUGAUUGGUUAGUUAGCGAAUGCAGAAUGCUAGAUGAUAUCGCUAAGUUGUGGAUAGUUAGGUAUUAUGGAAUUAGUCUUUAUGCUAGAUUCUGGAAUAUGAUUGAUUGUGUUAAUUUACGAUUAAUACUAGGAACCUUGUGUUAUUUUAUCGGGUUUAUUUUUAAUCAUAUAUUAGCCAUAUAGCAUUUGUGUAACCUACACUGCUAGGCAUGUUUGAGGUAGAUGUGUUGAUUUUUUGGUGACUAUUACUAGGAACCUUGUGUUAUAUUACCGGGUUUAGUAUUAGUCGUAUAUUGGCCGAUAGCAUUUGUGUAACCCACAAUGGCAUAUUGGGGUGAGUUAGUGUUCCUUCAGACCUCGUACCCGGCGGG
rnacentral:lncRNA from 1 species